AAUGCAUAUGUUGAAGGUGAUGCAUCAAGUGCGAGUUAUUUCCUAGCAGGCACAACAGUCACCGGUGGCACUGUCAUAGUUGAAGGUUGCAGCACAAGUAGUUUACAGCAUCAAACUGGCUGCAAUUGCUUCUCGUAAGGAACACAUAAAUCUGGAGCAAUGGCUGAACGAAAAUCUGAGCACAUACAAGGAUACUUUUUUUGAGGAUUGCCUCAAGUUCUUAAAAGAAAUACCUUCUACAGCAACAAAUGAUGCAUCUGCCAAUCCUUUCCAACAUUCCAUUGAAAAUCCUUUUGCAGAUUUUCCAUGCAUUAAAUACCAUUGAAAAUCCUUUUGCAGAUUUUCUAAGGAACAAUGGAACAAUGGAAGUUGUUGUUCCAAACUGACAGUUGUUGUUUAAAUAUAUCUGAAUGUUGUUGUUGUACAGAACAAUGGUAGCAGAUUUUUAAAGUGUGUGGAACAGUUGUUGGGAUAUGAAGGGUUUAGUUGAACAGUUGCUGUUGUAUAGAACAGUUGGUGAAGGGUUUUGCAGAUUUUCAGAGAGAGAUUUGAAUUUAGCUUUGUUUUUUUCUUCUUUUUUCUUGAAUUUGAGGUUGGGAGUUUGGAAUUUCAGGUCAUUGGGGAGAGCGAUGGAUUUCAAUGUGAUCUUUAGUCUUUCUUCAUGAACUGGAAGUGGGUAUUUAGAAUUCUUCAAGAUAUAUGACAGUCCCGAACAAAUUCUUGAAGAAUUCUUUCAUUUAAGACUUGAGUUCUAUGUAAAGAGAAAGAAAGUAAUGUUGGAUAAUCUUGAAAUAAAGCGGUUGAGAUUGUCUAACAAAGUCAGAUUCAUCAUUAGGGUGGUAGAAGGGGAGAUUAUUGUGAGUAACAGGAAGAGAGCGGAUCUAGUCCUUGAGUUGUAGCAGAAGGGUUUCACACCGUUCCCUAAAACCAAAGGCGUUGAUACCAGCAAGGCAAUGGAAACAGAAGAAAAUGAAGAGACACCAGAGGUGGGAAGAGUUGUAAGAGCAAGUGAUUACGAGUAUCUACUGUCGAUGCCGAUUAGAACCUUUACGCUGGAAAAGGUUCAAGAGCUGUUGGCUGAAAAGGGAAAGCAAGAAAUGGAGGUGGAGGAAUUGAAGAAGGAAACUCCAAAGUCUUUGUUGAUGAAAGAUCUUGAUGCUUUCAUUACGGCACUUGAUGUGCAUCUCG